GGCACUGGUGGCUCAGUUGGUAGAGUGCCCACCGUGUGCAGAGGCUAUAGUCCACGACGCGGUUGUCCUGGGUUCGGUUCCUGGUCUCGGGCCA